rnacentral:lncRNA from 1 species
AUCGGUAAAGAAAAAGGAGAAGAGGACACGAAGAAACUGACAAAGAGAAGAAGGUUAAGUAUUGUUUUGUCUUCUUCCUUUUGUAGUUUAAUUUAUUUCGAAGACAGAAGAGAAAGAGUCUGAUUUUCUAAGUGUAUUUGAGGUGAAUGAAGAAAGAAAACUCAGAUUCAACCUACCAGGGGAAAUCGAUCGAAAAAAAUGAAGAGGAGCCGCCUCUUCUUUCCCCUCCUUAUUUUCUCUUCUCUUCUUCUUCUGCUGCCGCCACCUCUUCUUUUCCCUCCUUCUUUUCUCUUCUCUUCUUCUUCUUCUCCGUCUUCC